rnacentral:rRNA from 1 species
GGGGGGUAGAAUUUCAGGUGUAGCGGUGAAAUGCGUAGAGAUCUGAAGGAAUACCGGUGGCGAAGGCGGCCCCCUGGACAGAUACUGACACUCAGAUGCGAAAGCGUGGGGAGCAAACAGGAUUAGAUACCCUGGUAGUCCACGCCGUAAACGAUGUCUACUUGGAGGUUGUGGCCUUGAGCCGUGGCUUUCGGAGCUAACGCGUUAAGUAGAC